AUGGCUCUAGCUCUUCUGUACCUAGUCUUUCUCCAUUUCCUGGUUUCAGAAAAUGCACUGCUGCAGCAAGAAUUAAGCCUGACCAAGGCAGCCAGCAAAACUGCUCUCAUCCGGUGUCAUGUGAAAGACCUCCGCAGUCCUUACCUCCACUGGUACGUUCACCCAGAGGGAGAGACUUUGACCCGGGUGUUGUACAUGGCGACCGGCAGUGAGAGAACGCCGGAGAUGAGAAAACAAAAUAAACGGUGGAUCAGUGAACCUGGUUUCGAGAAGUUCACUGUGGAGACGGCGGUCGGCGGCCAAACGUACACGUUGAUGAUUUCUGACUUAAAGACCAAUAACUCAGGCACCUACUACUGUGCCCACCUGGACUCCCACAGUGUUCGCCUCCCAAGCAAAUUCUCUACUAAAACUGUUGCUAAUACGUCCAAUUCCACCGCGUGA